CAGUCGCCGCGGUAAUACAGAGGGUGCGAGCGUUAAUCGGAUUUACUGGGCGUAAAGCGUGCGUAGGCGGCUUCUUAAGUCGGAUGUGAAAUCCCUGAGCUUAACUUAGGAAUUGCAUUCGAUACUGGGAAGCUAGAGUAUGGGAGAGGAUGGUAGAAUUCCAGGUGUAGCGGUGAAAUGCGUAGAGAUCUGGAGGAAUACCGAUGGCGAAGGCAGCCAUCUGGCCUAACACUGACGCUGAGGUACGAAAGCAUGGGGAGCAAACAGGAUUAGAUACCCGUGUAGUCCCUGUCUCUUAUAC
rnacentral:rRNA from 1 species